GACGAACGCUGGCGGCGUGCUUAACACAUGCAAGUCGAACGAAGUGGCGAACGGGUGAGUAAUACGUGAGUAACCUUCCCUCCUUUUGGGGAUAAACCUUGGAAACGGGGUGUAAUACCGGCUACAGGGGUGUGGGCUCGCGGCCUAUUCGCUUGUUGGUGGGGUGAUGGCCUACCAGGGCGGUGCCGGGUAGCCGGCCUGAGAGGGUGACCGGCCACAGUGGGACUGAGAAACGGCCCAGACGCCUACGGGAGGCAGCAGUGGGGGAUAUUGCACAAUGGGCGAAAGCCUGAUGCAGCGACGCCGCGUGUAUGAAGAAGGCCUUCGGGUUGUAAAGUACUUUCAGCGGGGAGGCGUUACCCGCAGAAGAAGCACCGGCUAACUCCGUGCCAGCAGCCGCGGUAAUAC
rnacentral:rRNA from 1 species